AGACAACAUCUUGCCCAUGCUUUGCAUCAUUGAAGGCCGUAAUUUUUGGCUGCUGUAUGCGAGUUUCUUCCCUGACCCACGUCAAGGAGUUAUGUUGUGUUGGUAGAGACAGCGUACCUCUGGUCAACCAAAACAUUAAAAAAAAAAGGGACCCUGCCUGCAGAUGCCCAAAGGCCUCAGGACCUCACACCCAUUUCUGAAUGGCUGGUUGGGAUGGAUGGGAAGAGAUGCUUGCGGGCGGUGAAAAUGGUUUUCCAUUUAAAAUGCUGGCCUCUUUCAAUAUGAAAGAUUUAUACCUGCAAACUCUGCAAAAGACAACAGUUUGAGAAGUUGGGGUUGCUGGGGGCAAUCCAAUUUACCAAGGAAACCAGCUGAGCCAUGGAACAACAUGGAGUGGGGCGGCCCACAGCCACAAUGCUAUCUGCAGAAGGGCAUGCUCUCUGUUUCUUUAAGCAGAAACUGGAACAUUAUUCCUUUACCACUGCAAAAAGAGCAAUUCGUUCUUUGAUGGAAGAUCCACUUAUGUAAACAAGACCUCUGUUUUCUGCCUCUGCCACAAAGAAAAGUGUAGUCCCUCUAGAUGGGUAGGAGCCAGAAAGCAGAAGUCAUUGUCUUUUACUUCUCCUUGGUGUCUCUUACUUCCCAAAGCAUUCUAGUUCUUUUUCACUUAAGAAAAGAACUGUAUGUCAACUGGGCAGUUCCCUAGGGAACUGAGAUUCAGCUAACAGAUCAGCUCUCAACGCUGAUAGAAGAUGCCAUUCCCAGUUAGAUGCUGAAAUAAACUAAAGCAGAACCAAUGUUUUC